GGGUGGGAGCUGGAUGGGUGUCCCUUUCCUGCCUAAGCACUCCACGUGUGUCCCUUCUGAGGCAGCGCACAUGGCGGAAGAGAACAAUGUUCCCCACUGGAGGAGGACCAUGGUUUGGUCAGGGGUACACACAGUGGGCUCCCCUGCUAGAACCUCCAAACACACUCCCAUGAGGGGAAGGCUGUCCCCAGCAGAGGGCUUCGGAGACCCUGCUUCCCUGGGCUUAUUGCCUUCAUAAUUUGCCAUCCUGC
ensembl:misc_RNA 7SK 7SK RNA